rnacentral:lncRNA from 1 species
UUUUGUUAAGGGAUGAUUUUGUAUGAAUUACAUGUCAAUAAGUUUUGACAUGUUAUGUGCAAUAACAUCAACACCUUGUCGACAUUGUAUCGACAGUCUGUCCCUUAAUAAAUUACAUACGUCUUUGCUUAUUACUCGUUGCAUAUGCAUGUUGUAAUUGCAUGUGUUUUUGCAGGCUGGUCAGCAAAUGAUGGAGAAGGCUCAGGGAGCAGCUGACUCCGUCAAGGAUGCAGUUGGCGCCAACAAAAGAAGCUGAGAUGGGGAUCUCAUCAGUCCAAUUCCUCCAAAAUUUCGUGUUCCCGUUUUUGUUUUGUGAUUCUUUCUUUUUUGGUCCAUCUUUUGCUUAAACUUGCUGUUUGAAGCAAGAACAAGUUCUGAUCAUGCAACCACUUACUGUUCAGAGAACAUUUUGCUAAUAAUCUCAAUGAUAUUGUUUCUCUAGCACCAAUGUUUCAGAGUGGUUAUUUAUUUACUUUUAUUCCAAAUUGAUAUCGAGAAUCAUUUCUACUUAACUGCAAAUCACAAUGCAACGCAUACAAAAAACCAAGGAAAAAGACAUUUGUGUUGAAACCAACUAUGUACUGGUUUGGUACUAAUGUGCUUUUAUAAAAAAUGGGUAUAAAAAAAGCUGAACUCAAAAAUAUGUUCGGUAAACACUUUAAAACAGCUUAUUUUCAUAGUUUUGGAUGAAAAAAAGCUGAAAACGUGAAGCAGAAAAAAUGAGUUUAUUCUCACAUCACAGUAGAAGCAGUUUUUUUUUUUCAAAGCACAGCAAUACCAAACCAGCUUUACAUAUGGCUUCAAAUGUCUUCAAGACGAUUAGCAAAUAGAGAACCAAAAGCCUCCAUACAAUGUUUUUCCAAAACCAAGCCAACCUUAACACCACCAUCACCAUUCUUGCUCGCUUGAAAAGGUAUCGCUCCUGUCCCAUCUAUCGAAACUAUCUCGUGCUUCGUCAGUCUUCCCCAACCGAAAUCAGCUGCACCAUAAAAAUCAACGGUGUGAACCGGAAAUGGGAAUUAUUCUAUCAAUACUACUGGUCUGCAGUGUGUAUAAAUAUAUAUAAUUAUUUUUUUAAUACAAAAUCAAAUGUAUAAAUAUAUAUAAUUAUUGUUCUUAUGAAGCUGGUAUAAUAAGUUUCUACUCUUAUCCAUCCAUAAUUGAGUGUUUAGUGUUGUAUAAUAGCUAAACCUGUCGAGCAUGACAAACACACUCUAUGAAGUAUUUGAGAGAUUUUUCACUGUGUUAAAAAUAGGAGGUGGAACAUCACAUGAUUAUAACAUUGAAGGAAAGUGUUUUAUUUUUCUAAGUGUCUUGCUAAUAUAUAACAUGUUAUAUAUGCACCUUGUUCGAAAAUCUAAACGUAUCGUAUGUUAGAUUAAUUAGUGGCUCCUAGAUUAUUGGGUAAUGAUAAAACGUCCACGAAACUACCAUCUUGACGAAUCAUCUCCAUCUUGACGAGGCGGUAACGACUUCUCAGUCACUCCGCGAAACUACCAUCACCUACGUCGUCAAGAACAAUAAGGGAGGAACACACUCCAAUGAAUCGAUCAAGCAAUAAUUAUUUCAUUUCUUUUACCAAAAUCAUGCAACUUCCAUUCAAAUUGUAGAGUGUGAAUUUAUCAUGCAAGUAUGCAACUUUUUUCUCUCCCUCGCUCUCUGGGCCAAAGUAUUUGUAAGCACAUGUAAGGGCAAUUUUCUUAUUAAUGUGAGAUUCAUUCUCAAUAUACCCCCUCACGUGUGGCGAAUUUACAAGCCUAACACGUAGAUAACACAACAGGGUGACGUGAAGUGCGUGUGGCCGUUUGACUUCACACGAAGACAAUCUAUUCUAAUACCAUGAAAAAAGUUGAGAUUCCACAAUAAAACUGAUUGACAAUAUGGAGACUAGCACAACUACUUAUAAGCACAUGCAAGGUCAUUUAUCUCAUUAAUGUGGAAUUCAUUCUCAACAAUCAUUACCUCAAUUUUCUUUUUCGUUUCUACAAUUUCUUUGAUUAGUAUUCUUCUCUCUCUGGGUUGUUUAAUUGACUGUAUAAUUUAGGUUGAAUACAUAUUAGGCAAGAUUUUUCUGCAUUUUACGGCAAACGUUUUUAAUUUAUUUUUUCCAGAAACCCUUAUGGCAAGUUUUUAGGGAUGAAAAUUAAAUUUGAAAUAGAAAAUAUAAAGAAACACUAAAUAUGGCUUGUCAUGUUGUGUUCAUGUGCGUGUUGGCUUGCUGUAAUAGCUUCAUAUUCAUGGCAGGCAGUGUGGGUAGGGCUUUGCUGUGGAAGGAGGUUGUUGCUGGUGCUUAUUUAUUUAUUUUUUAAGUCCAGAGACACUUAUCCGGACAGUAUAAAUAAUCAGCCUUUUAAUCUAGGAAACGUUAACGAAAAACUCCCGGUACUGUUUACUUUAACAAAAAAUCACAUUUUUACCCUAAAAAGUUAAACCACACUUUUACACUAAAAAGUCAAUCAUGAUAUUAUUCACUUUACCCUUUAUUUUGUCCUUAUCAUUAAAACUCAAAGUUUUCAAGCCAUUUUUCAUUAGUUUUCCUUUUAAUCUACUUAAUGACUGAAAGAAUAGUCAUUAUAAUCCAAUGCACUUAUUAUCCUAUCCAACUAAGUUCGAGCUGUCAAACGAAGCUUAAGUGUUAAGUUUAUUACAAAACGUAUCGAUGCAAUCAAAAUAGCAAAACCAUAUAACAUUUAAGAGAAUUUAACUUAGGUUUUUGAUGUGGGACAUGUUUUAACUAGCAAAAAAUAAGAGUGAGACACUUGAGAAGCACAAAUAGGACUUCCUUGUAAUCUAUGAAGAGACAAAACCAUACUCUCCUUCCUGAAACUAAACUAACUUAACUAAUCUGAAAUGACGCUCUCUAUUGUUUUUGCCAUUACUAAUUAAAUUCUGCAUGGAAAUGUGACAUUUUAUUUUACUUUGAAAGCUCCAUAUAUUCAACUCAACGUCGAUAAAUUAGCCACAAUUUAGCCUGCCAACACAAUGCUCUAAAUUUGUAACUAAUUAGCUUUGUCAUGAGAGAAUGACUCAAACCUUAAUCAAAGCAACCCUGGUCUUUAGGCUUUAACUCCAAACUUUGCUCAACACGUGUCAAGCAAUUAAUGGAACUGAAGAAGCUAUAAAAUCCCACCCACUAACUUCAACAUUUCAUCAUAAAAAAAAAAGUUGUACGCACUUUUCAGCUGCCUCAAAUUUUCUUGUGUGUGUUUGUGUAGAAAGAGAAUUACUUCAUCAAGAUGAACCAAUCCCAGAACAUGAGCCACCAAGCUGGCCAGGCCAAGGGCCAAGCUCAAGUGAGUCUAAAAGCAGCUGUCUAGAAAAGCAAUUUGGUUAAAAGUUUGUUGGUCAUUUUGGUGGUUCAUGAUCAUGUGUUUUGCAAUUUUGAUAUACAGGAAAAGGCCAGUGGCAUGAUGGACCAAAUGAGCA